UACGGGGGGGGCAAGCGUUGUUCGGAAUUACUGGGCGUAAAGGGCUCGUAGGCGGCCAACUAAGUCAGACGUGAAAUCCCUCGGCUUAACCGGGGAACUGCGUCUGAUACUGGAUGGCUUGGAUUCGGGAGAGGAAUGCGGAAUUCCAGGUGUAGCGGUGAAAUGCGUAGAUAUCUGGAGGAACACCGGUGGCGAAGGCGGCAUUCUGGACCGAUAUUGACGCUGAGGAGCGAAAGCCAGGGGAGCAAACGGG
rnacentral:rRNA from 1 species